GACAGAGGCCUCAAGCGUUAGGCGGAAUCACUGGGCUUAAAGCGUGUGUAGGCGGGUCGUUAAGUACCUUGUGAAAUCCCACGGCUCACCCGUGGAACUGCUGGGUAUACUGGCGAAUCUUGGGCCAACUAGGGGCACUGGAACAAGCGGUGGAGCGGUGAAAUGCGUAGAUAAUCGCUUGGAACGCCAAAGGUGGAAACGGUUGCUGGGGUUGUGA
rnacentral:rRNA from 1 species